rnacentral:lncRNA from 1 species
CAACAGAUGAAAACUCUUAGCUGAAACUAACAGAGCCACAUGGAGAUCAAAUCAAGGACCUUAAAACAACAGGAUAAAUUGUUUCACCACCAGUUUGUCCAGUGUGGCCUCAAUUAACUGUAUCCUAACUGAUCAUCUUCAAUUAAACAGGUUUGUUUGUCUUUUAGCUACACUUUAUCUGUAAGACAAAGAGAUACACAUUAUUUUCUUUAAAAGCACAUAUCAAGGGAUUACUGGGAUCUAUAACCUUUCAGGCUAUUUUCUGUAGUCAGGUCACAAGUAACCUCAUCUUUUAUUCCAUCUGCACUAAUCCCUGCAGGCUUGGACAGUGCAAAAUGUUUAGACUGACAACCUAAAGCAGAUUUGUUUUUCUCAACUAUACUUCUUAUAGACUCAGAAGUUUCCCAAAAUAAGAAAAAAUAUACUCAGAGAGUAAAAACUAAUACCAGGAAAGAUUUCCUGGAAGGAUUCCUACCCCUGAUUUCAUUUGCAUUUUGAACCAUGGAGAUAAUAUUCUAAUCAGUGAUGAGUGAGUGCACAUUCCUGCAUAGGGCCUUCUAUGGCUCCCAUUACCCACAAAAUAGCCCACUCACUUUUCUGUGUAAAAGAAAAAGUGCUUUAUGGAUCCUUAUCUCACUCAGUCUUACACCUCCACCCCCACCCCCAUUCUAUAUUCAACCUCCAUAAAUUAUUUACCUACAUUGUUUUCUCAGACCCCUGUGCCCUUGCAUGGACUAUAUUUCCUGCCAGGCAUAUGCUAUUUUCUGUGCCUGGUUAACUUUUUUUUCUGUGAGAGGAGUCUCACUCUAUCGCCCAGGCUGAAGUUCAGUGGCUCAAUCUUGGCUCACCGCAACCUCCAUCUCCUGGAUUCAAGCGAUAUUUUCACCUCAGCCUCCCUGGGAUUACAGCUUGGGGAUUUGUGAAGCAGCCAACCAGAGGGAACUGAAGUCAUUGAUACUGAACACACAGUGACUUCCUAGCUGAUGCCAAUUUCCCCUCCCCCUCCAAUAAAAACAGUCAUAUUUGUCUGCCUUUGGCAUCAAAGACAAUUUUUAUUGCAUGGUCUGUACAUGAUGAUAGAAUUCUGAGGAUAAAAAUCCAAAGAGAAACUAAGAAAAAAACUAUCAUAUGGAGGAUUUUAGAGUAAAGCUGAACAACUGAUUUGGGUUCUGUAAACUUAGACAACUUGUCAGUCCAUGUCACUAUUUACACCAAAGACGUUCUGUGCAUUCAGUAGCUAUUGUAUUAGGGAACAGCUUUCAGAAGCAAACAGAACCUUGCCAUUAGGGCUCUCUCUCCACCCUGAGUUCCCUUUCUUGGCUGCACUCCGUGGAUUAGAGGGCUGGACAUCAACAACUGAGGGAAAAAAUGAUAAGAGAUGGGCACCCAGCAAGACCCUAGUACUCACCAGAGCCAUCACAAAUCAGUUCUUGACUUCACUGACCCCUGGAAGUGCUCCCAUUGAAACAGUAAAAGAAGCUCUAUACUGAAGAUGUAGAUUCAAAUCCUAAUUGGCCAGCCGAUGUGGCUCACACUUUUCAUCCCAGCACUUUCGGAGGCUGAGGCAGGCAGAUCACUUGAGGUCAGGAGUUCAAGACCAGCCUGGCCAACAUGGCGAAAUCCUGUCUCUACUAAAAAUGUAAAAAAUUAGCUGGGCAUGGUGGUACUCACAUGCAAUCCAAGCUACUCAGGAAGCUGAGGCAGAAUAGCUUGAACCCGGGAGGCAGAGUUUACAGUGAGCUGAGAUCAUGCUACUGUACUCCAGUCUGAGCAACAGAGUAAAACCCUGUCUCAAAACACGAAAACAAAAACAAAGUAAACCACCUAAUUAGUAUGUGACCUUCAGUCUAUUAGCCCCAUGACUUAGUUUACUUAUUGUAAAAUAUGGAUACUGUUAGAACCUCCUUCUUCUGACUGUCAAAAGGAUUAAAUUAGAUACUUAGAAUAUCUAUGAAACUUAGUCUCUGGCUAGUGGUAAGAGUUCAAGUGUUUCUUGCCAGUGUAGAUAAAUAUAAGCAGGUCACGUGAUAAAGGAACUAAACUUACCCAGUUGCUCCUACUCACUGGAGAAAACAUUCUAUCCAAGAUUCAGCAGGAGUUGGUGGCUUUCUUGCCCAGGAAUUCCUGCAUGCAGAAACUCUCCAAAAUAGAGUCAGAAUUGUCUCCAUUUUACUAAAAUUGUCUUUAACUUGCUUUCUCAUUUCAAGCACGAAUUUCACAUUUACCACCCCAUGAGUUUUCUAAUAAUUUCUUCAUCAAAUCAUACAUCACCUAUUAGCAUAUGUAUUUAUUCAAAAACAAAUUCAACUAGAACCUCCCAGUUCUAGGUGUGGAGGUAGUGGGCAGUGUCAGGGGUUCGGUGGGGAUGCAGGCUCAUAGAAAUCACAAACUGUGAAACAGUCCCUGUCCUGGAGAAAGUCAUGAGCAAAUGGGUGCCUGCAGGCACUUAAAUGACAAUAUCAGUGGUAGUUUAGUACAAAGACUAUGAGUGUGGUCUCUGAGCCAGACUUUCUGAGAUGCAAUCUAGUCUCCAGCGCUAAACAGCUGUGUGACCCUGGACAGAUCUCUUACCCCUCUGUUCCUCACUUUCCUCAUCUACGAAAUGGGCAUGAAAAUUAUAUCCACUUCAUGGAGUUGAAUGAGAUGAUAUGUCUAAAACAUUUAGAAUAAUGCCUAAUACAUUAUCAUAUUAUGCAAACUUUAUCUUAAAAACUAAUGAAUGAAAAUUAUAAUUUGGCGUGCUGUGGACCAAGCCCCGUGUUAAGAUAGGCUUUGCAUUGAUUAUCUGUCUCAUUUCACCCUUGCAAGGAAAUGCACACAUCAACCCUGGAGCCUUUACUUGGCCCUGGUUCUAAAUUGGAGUUAAUGAAGUACCUUCCUAUAACAUUGUCAAAAGGAUUCAAUGAGUUAAUACGUGUCGAGUAGUUAGGGCUAGGCCAGCACAAAGUAAGGCUUAAGCAAGACAAGCUUACAAAGUUUAAAUAGCUUGCCUGGAUUCACAUGGCCAAUUGAUAAGGGUUGAAUCAUUAUUUAAACACAGGCAUGCAAUUACUACCUUACC